AAAAUUUUAGUUUAAUUAAAAAUUUAAUAUUUACAAUAUUAAGAUAUUUUAUUAAUAAAUUUUA
rnacentral:tRNA from 1 species